AAUCUGUGUUGAGGGCAACGUUGAAUCAAAUCUUUAUACCUUUACCAUGCUUCAUAAAGUGAUUCGAAAUCAUUUUGCUUGAAUUGACCAAUCUCACUCAUAAGUUG